rnacentral:rRNA from 1 species
GACCGAGGGGGCAAGCGUUGCUCGGAAUCACUGGGCGUAAAGCGCACGUAGGCGGCUUUCUAAGUCAGGGGUGAAAUCCUGGAGCUCAACUCCAGAACUGCCUUUGAUACUGGAGAGCUUGAGUCCGGAAGAGGUGAGUGGAACUCCGAGUGUAGAGGUGAAAUUCGUAGAUAUUCGGAAGAACACCAGUGGCGAAGGCGGCUCACUGGUCCGGUACUGACGCUGAGGUGCGAAAGCGUGGGGAGCAAACGGG